rnacentral:rRNA from 1 species
GAUAAACGCUAGCGGCAGGCCUAACACAUGCAAGUCGAGGGGCAUCGGAUAGAGUACUUCGGUACUCUUGCCGGCGACCGGCGGACGGGUGCGUAACGCGUAUGCAACCUACCUUCAACAGGGGGAUAAUCCGAAGAAAUUUGGUCUAAUACCCCAUAAUAUUCCGACAGGCAUCUGUCGGAGUUGAAAGCUUCGGUGGUUGGAGAUGGGCAUGCGUUGUAUUAGCUAGAUGGUGAGGUAACGGCUCACCAUGGCGAUGAUACAUAGGGGGACUGAGAGGUUUUCCCCCCACACUGGUACUGAGACACGGACCAGACUCCUACGGGAGGCAGCAGUGAGGAAUAUUGGUCAAUGGACGGAAGUCUGAACCAGCCAUGCCGCGUGCAGGAUGAAUGUGCUAUGCAUUGUAAACUGCUUUUGUACGAGGGUAAACACAGAUACGCGUAUCUGCUUGAAAGUAUCGUACGAAUAAGGAUCGGCUAACUCCGUG